GGCCACUCACUAAACCUCAGUGACAGUGACCGACUCUCUUUCUCCUCUCACUUUGCUGGUUGUAAUCCUUCAGUCUCAACUCGGGGCAUCUCUUCUCCCUCCUUCAAGUCACCUCUCUGUUCCAAAGGCAGCAAAAGCCACCUCAACCAGCCCCCCGGGACAGCACAGGUGAAUUUCCAACUUGUCUCCAGCCUCUGAGCCUUGAGACUUUCUCAAGGCCCUACCUGGAGAGCCAGAAUGCCCUCACCCCGAAACAGCUGCUGUGGAGUCAUCUGUAUCCCACCCCUACCCUCUGCUCCUCAGUGAGAGAGAUGGGCUCAGCCUCUGCCCGGUGGCUUCCAUAGCUUUGUAGCACACAGGUUCUGGGAUUGAUGCCACCCAUGCCAGCCAGCAUUGGUAGACAGCUUGCUUGUCUUCAGCGGAGGGUGAAGGGGCACAUCAGAGGCUCCCCACCCAGGGAUUCCCAACAGCACUGACCCCAGCAGGACUCAGCCACCACCCUGAGUCGGCUUCCUUCCUUCCCUUGGAUCGCCUCCCAAAUAAACCACUUGGACUUGAA